GAGUGCAAAGGCAGAAGGGAGCUUGACUGCGAGACGGACAGGUCGAGCAGGGACGAAAGUCGGGCUUAGUGAUCCGGUGGUAGAGAGUGGAAUUGCCAUCGCUCAACGGAUAAAAGCUACCCUGGGGAUAACAGGCUUAUCUCUCCCAAGAGUCCAUAUCGACGGGGAGGUUUGGCACCUCGAUGUCGGCUCAUCACAUCCUGGGGCUGAAGUAGGUCCCAAGGGUUGGGCUGUUCGCCCAUUAAAGUGGUACGCGAGCUGGGUUCAGAACGUCGUGAGACAGUUCGGUCCCUAUCCAUCGCGGGCGUAAGAAACUUGAAAGGGGCUGCUCCUAGUACGAGAGGACCGGAGUGGACCGACCAAUGGUGUACCAGUCAUGGCGCCAGCCGUGCAGCUGGGUAGCUACGUCGGGGACGGAUAAACGCUGAAAGCAUCUAAGCGUGAAACCAGCCUAGAGAUGAGGUUUCUCAUUGUUUUAACAAGUAAGGUCCCACAAAGACGAUGUGGUUGAUAGGCCGGGAGUGGAAGUACAGCGAUGUACGGAGCGGACCGGUACUAAUAGACCGAGGACUUGACUUA
rnacentral:rRNA from 1 species